rnacentral:rRNA from 1 species
AUGGUGCCGGGGUUCACCAAGUUUGAUGUGGAGAAAUUCGAUGGCACGGGUAACUUCGGUCUAUGGCAGACAAGAGUCAAGGAUAUUCUGGCGCAGCAGGGAAUCUUGAAGGGUUUGCAGGAGACAAAGCCGGCCAAGGUUGACAGUGAUGCGUGGGAGGAUAUGCAAGUGCAGGCGGCCGCUACCAUACGGCUUUGUCUUGCGGAUAAGGUCAUGUAUCAUAUCAUGGACGAAGAUUCUCCUAAGGGAAUUUGGGACAAGUUGGCAAAUCGCUAUAUGUCCAAGUCAGCAACCAAUAAGCUGUAUUUGAAGCAAAAGUUCUAUGGGCUGAAGAUGCAGGAGGGGUCGGAUCUUGUGGAUCAUGUGAAUGCCUUUAUUCAA